GUGCUCGCUUCGGCAGCACAUAUACUAAAAUUGGAAUGAUACAGAGAAGAUUAGCAAGGCCCCUGAGUAAGAAGGACUCCGGGAAGGGUGAAGGAAGGGGGUAGGAU